GACGAACGCUGGCGGCGUGCCUAAUACAUGCAAGUAGAACGCUGAAGAGAGGAGCUUGCUCUUCUUGGAUGAGUUGCGAACGGGUGAGUAACGCGUAGGUAACCUGCCUUGUAGCGGGGGAUAACUAUUGGAAACGAUAGCUAAUACCGCAUAACAAUGGAUGACACAUGUCAUUUAUUUGAAAGGGGCAAUUGCUCCACUACAAGAUGGACCUGCGUUGUAUUAGCUAGUAGGUGAGGUGAUGGCUCACCUAGGCGACGAUACAUAGCCGACCUGAGAGGGUGAUCGGCCACACUGGGACUGAGACACGGCCCAGACUCCUACGGGAGGCAGCAGUAGGGAAUCUUCGGCAAUGGGGGCAACCCUGACCGAGCAACGCCGCGUGAGUGAAGAAGGUUUUCGGAUCGUAAAGCUCUGUUGUAAGUCAAGAACGGGUGUGAGAGUGGAAAGUUCACACUGUGACGGUAGCUUACCAGAAAGGGACGGCUAACUACGUG
rnacentral:rRNA from 1 species